UACGGGGGGGGCAAGCGUUGUUCGGAAUUACUGGGCGUAAAGGGCUCGUAGGCGGCCAACUAAGUCAGACGUGAAAUCCCUCGGCUUAACCGGGGAACUGCGUCUGAUACUGGAUGGCUUGAGAUUGGGAGAGGGAUGCGGAAUUCCAGGUGUAGCGGUGAAAUGCGUAGAUAUCAGGAGGAACACCGAUGGCGAAGGCAGGUCUCUGGGCCGAUACUGACGCUGAGGAGCGAAAGCGUGGGGAGCGAACAGG
rnacentral:rRNA from 1 species